rnacentral:rRNA from 1 species
AGAAUCAACGCUGGCGGCGUGCCUAACACAUGCAAGUCGAACGCGAAAGCCCCGCAAGGGGUCAGUAGAGUGGCAAACGGGUGAGUAACACGUGGGUGACCUGCCUCAGAGUGGGGGAUAACGACCCGAAAGGGUCGCUAAUACCGCAUAACAUCCUGCCUUUGGAUAGUGGAGAUACAAGUUAGGGUAGUCCGCAAGGACCGUGACGCUUGGAGGAGGGCCGGCCGGCCGAUUAGUCUAGUUGGUGAGGUAACGGCUCACCAAGACGAACGAUCAGUAUCCGGCCGUGAGGAGGGCGGACGGACAC